AACGAACGCUGGCGGCAUGCCUAACACAUGCAAGUCGAACGAGACCUUCGGGUCUAGUGGCGCACGGGUGCGUAACGCGUGGGAAUCUACCCUUGGGUUCGGAAUAACAGUUAGAAAUGACUGCUAAUACCGGAUGAUGACGUAAGUCCAAAGAUUUAUCGCCCAAGGAUGAGCCCGCGUAGGAUUAGCUAGUUGGUGAG
rnacentral:rRNA from 1 species